rnacentral:rRNA from 1 species
AGUGAACGCUGGCGGUAGGCCUAACACAUGCAAGUCGAACGGCAGCACAGUAAGAGUUUGCUCUUACGGGUGGCGAGUCGCGGACGGGUGAGGAAUAUAACGGGCUCUACUUUUUCGUGGGGGUUAACGUAGGGAAAGUUACGCUAAUACCGCAUCUGCCCUACGGGUGAGAGCAGGGGAUCUUCGGGCCUUGCGGGAUUGAAUGAGCCGAUGGUGGAUUUGCUAGUUGGCGGGGUAAUGGCCCACCCAGGCGACGAUCCGUAGCUGGGCGGGGUGGAUGGUCGGCCGCACUGGAACUUAGACACGGUCCAUGCUCCUACGGGAGGCAGCAGUGGGGAAUAUUAGGCAAUAGGGGCAAGCCUUAUCCAACCAUACCACGUGUGUGAAGAAGGCCUUCGGGUUGUAAAGCCCUUUUGUUGGUAAAGAAAAGCAGCAGGUUAAGACCCCGCUGUUCUGACGGUACCCAAAAAAGAAGCACCGGCUAACUUCGUG